GAACUAUGCCUGAGUAGGAUGAAGCCGGAGGAAACUCUGGUGGAGGUCCGAAGCGCUUUUGACGUGCAAAUCAAUCGUCAGACUUGGGUAUAGGGGCGAAAGACUAAUCGAACCAUCUAGUAGCUGGUUCCCUUCGAAGUUUCCCCCAGGAAAGCUGGUGCCAUGUUUGACAGUUUUAUCUGGUAAAGCGAAUGAUUAGAGGCAUUGGGGACGAAUUGUCCUCGACCUAUUCUCAAACUUUAAAUGGGUAAUGUACCGUUGUACUUCUUGAUAUUCAUGAGUGCUCGGUCAAAUGCAAUGGCGCCAAGUGGGCCAUUUUUGGUAAGCAGAACUGGCGAUGUGGGAUGAACCAAACGUUGAGCUAGGAUGCCCAAAGUGCUUCUCAUGAGAUACCAUGAAAGGUGUCAGUCGAUAUUGACAGCAGGACGGUGGCCGCAGAAGUAGGAAUCCGCUAAGGAGUGUGUAACAACUCACCUGCCGAAUCGACUGGUCCUGAAAAUGGAUGGCGCUGGAGACGUAUAUCCAUGCUCGACCGUCAAUGCCAACGAAAGCGAUUGCUAUAUGGCUUGACGUGUAGAAGGGCGAUUGCCGUGGCGUCGAAACUUGCACCGUGAGGUGGGGUAGAGCUGCGGCAUGUGCAGAUCUUGGUGGUAGUAGCAAGUAUUCAAAUGAGAGCAUUGAAGACUGAAGUGGAGUAAGGUUCCAUGUGAACAGCAUUUGGACAUGGAUCAGCCGAUCCUAAGAGAACGUGUAAGUUCGUGAUUAAGCGCGUCGCCUUGUGCGUCGCAAUCGAAAGGGAAUCGGGUUAAUAUUCCCGAGCCAGGAUACGGAAUGAGCCUGAUUAAUCGAAAGUACCUUGUGUGCUUUUGACUUCAGGCAAAAGCGGCAACGCCAACAAACCCAGAGAUUAACUAUGCGAAGUCCGGGGAAGAGUUUUCUCUUCUUUGUAAGGGAUGUUAUCCCUGGAAACAGAUUGUCUGGCGAUAGGGUACGCAUCCCGUAAUGCAACGCGAUUCCUGCGAUGUACCGUGCGCUUCGUAUAGUGCUUGAAAAUCUGGGAGCGAGUUUGUUCAGGCCGUACCUGUUCGUACUGAUUUCCGCAGCAGGUCUCCAAGGUGAGCAGCCUCUAGUCGAUGGGACAAAGUAGACAAGGGAAGUCGGCAAAUUAGAUCCGUAACUUCGGAAAAAGGAUUGGCUCUAAAGGCUGAGUUGGUCGGGCGGUUGCGUAAAGCUGGGAGCGAUGCUUUGACUCUGUCUCAGACUCCAUACUCGCAAGGGAUAUGUAAUCGGCGGCGGAGCUUAGUAUUUGCUCACUGUGGACCGCGGUCGCUAUGCCACCCAUGCGGUGUCAAAAUUCAUUUUCGAGCCGUGCGGUGUGGAUCCGAUCAGCGUUUAACAGCUGACCUAGAACUGGUAUGGACAAGGGGAAUCCAACUGUUUAAUUAAAACAAAGCAUUGCGAUAGCUGUAAUCGGUGUUGACGCGAUGUGAUUUCUGCCCAGUGCUCUGAAUGUUAAAGUGAAGGAACUCAUUAAAGCGCGAGUUAACGGCGGAAGUAACUAUGACUUUCUUAAGGUAGCCAAAUGCCUCGUCAUCUAAUUAGUGACGUGCAUGAAUGGAUUAUUGAGAUUCCUUCUGUCCCUGUCUGCAACCUAGCGAAACCACAGCCAAGGGAACGGGCUUGGAGAGUAACAGCGGGGAAAGAAGACCCUGUUGAGCUUGACUCUAGUCAGUCUUUGUGAAGAAACAUGAUGGGUGUAGAAUAGGUGGGAGGACGCGACAGUGAAAUACCACUACUAUCAUCGUUUCUUUACUUACUCAAUUGAUCAGGGAGCGUGAAUUCGCUAUUUGCGAUGUAUGAUUAUUCCUUCAGUGGAAUAAGUGUCUGGUUUGAGAACACAGACUGAUUGGGAGUUUGACUGGGGCGGUACAUCUGUUAAAAUCUAACGCAGGUGUCCUAAGGCAAUCUCAGCGUGGACAGAAACCUCGCAUAGAGCGAAAGGGCAAAAGAUUGCUUGAUCUUGAUUUUCAGUACGAAUAAAGACAAUGAAAGUUUGGCUUGUCGAUCCUUUUGAAUUUUACGAGUUUUAAGCAAGAGGUGUCAGAAAAGUUACCACAGGGAUAACUGGCU
rnacentral:rRNA from 1 species